rnacentral:rRNA from 1 species
UACGGAGGGGGCGAGCGUUGUCCGAAGUUACUGGGCGUAAAGCGCGCGUAGGUGGGAGAGCAAGUCCGCUGUGAAAGCCUGCGGCUUAACCGCAGAGGGUCGGUGGAUACUGUUCUUCUUGAAGGUGCUAGGGAGAGAUGGAAUUACCGGUGUAGCGGUGAAAUGCGUAGAGAUCGGUAGGAACACCAGUGGCGAAGGCGGUCUCUUGGAGCACUCUUGACGCUGGAGGCGCGAAAGCUGGGGGAGCGAACGGG